GAAUGAUCUUGUCGGACAAAAUUCAGCAGCAGGAGUGGAUACAGAGCGUACCCUCUGCUAAAAUAUCCACGUUCCCUUGAGGCAGCCCGAGGCUGUUCUCUGAGAGCCCGAUGGAAGAGGACAUUCUGUGCAAAGCUAUUCAUUGGAGAUAUUUUUUGUUCCAGAGUUUUUUUCCCUUCCUGAACUGAAUACCAAUCAACGGUCGCCUCUUUAGCGUGCUUGAGAAGAGAAUCACGCCACCACCAGAGAAAAAAUAAGAAAAAUGAGGUGAUACUGCUGGCGUCUGGGUGUCAGAGACCGUGAUUUUACCGCAAACACUGCAGCACAGCGGGGUGCGCGGUUAAAGCGAGAUGGGCUGGGACGGGGCAGUCGGGUUGAGAGAGUUAGGGGGGCUCGGGUGGUUUCGGGACCCUCUCAAGGUGCCUCUUCCAUGGAAACGCAGCUGGCUCAACAAGAUUCCCAUCAGUCGACAAAUAAGAUACAAGCUGGGCUCUGUCUCCGCACAGGCCACACUGUUACCAGGAGCCGACAGCCAAUCGCGGCACCCCAGUGGCCUCGUUUCGACUAAUGCCUCUUUUCUGCGACCAAUCACAGCUGCAGACACUUGAAAUGGUGACGUGAGUGAAAAGAUCCACAUCCUCGUUGAACAUGAUUUGAGUUCUCCACAUGCUCAGCUCGCCUCUCCUCAAGUGACUCAGCCAGCGCAGGAGCUGAUACCUGGAAGAGCUUCUGGAGAAGCACAAAAAUCUGGAGAAGAUGCAGAUACACCACCACUACUGAAACCUAACCAGGUUUCUCUCCGCCGACGGACUCCAGUGGAAGCUCCUCCUCCUCCGAGCGUCGUCCUCCCGUCGGAUGGUGGUUAGCGAUGGCCGCAGGUGCUCCCUUUACCUGCACGAAAAGCUGUGUGUAGAAUGUGUUAUUUUCAGCUUGCAGAGCGACCGGCCAGGCUGCAGAUAUCAUCCAUCUCCUUGUCACAAAGCGCCGGGGUUGCUGGGUAGGCAGCAGACAGGCGCUCGCGCUGAGGGUGGGAUCUGAAUCCUAAUUCCGUCGCUCUCUCCCCCGCCUCCCACGACGGAAAAUCGUUAACCUCGGGAUUGGAGAACAAAGCAGAGAGCUUUAG